CAGUAGCCACGGGAAUACGAGGGGGGCAAGCGUUGUUCGGAAUUAUUGGGCGUAAAGGGUGCGUAGGCGGUUCAGCAAGUCUCGUGUGAAAUCUUCGGGCUCAACCCGAAGUCUGCACGGGAAACUACUGGGCUUGAGUAAUGGAGAGGUGAGUGGAAUUUCCGGUGUAGCGGUGAAAUGCGUAGAUAUCGGAAGGAACACCUGUGGCGAAAGCGGCUCACUGGACAUUUACUGACGCUGAUGCACGAAAGCUAGGGGAGCAAACAGGAUUAGAUACCCCCGUAGUCCCUGUCUCUUAUAC
rnacentral:rRNA from 1 species